GCGAGAGUGGCGGAAUUGGUAGACGCACUGGAUUUAGGAUCCAGCGGCUAGUCCGUGAGAGUUCGAGUCUCUCCUUUCGCA
rnacentral:tRNA from 1 species